rnacentral:tRNA from 1 species
GCCCCGGUAGCUCAGCUGGAUAGAGCAGCGGACUUCUAAUCCGCAGGUCGGAUGUUCGAAUCAUCCCCGGGGCG